rnacentral:lncRNA from 1 species
UUUUUUUUUUUUUUUUUUUUUUGUGGACUACCGCUUCAACUUUAUGCAUGGUUUCUUCCACAAUCAUAAUGACACCCUCAAAUUCUACCUGAUUUUUCAAUCAUGCCUCCCUCAAUUACUCCUGAAAGAUGGUGCAUAUUACUACUAGUAUUUUUUACCAUCACCAUUUUCAAAAAGAUUCCUGUUCUUUUUUUUUUUUAAAGUCAAAACACUUACAAGACAAAUUGGGACAAAUUUACAACAUGUAAUCAUUAGCAAGACUUUUAAAUUCUUCUCAUAUCUGCAGUUUAAAUUCUUUUCACAGAAGUCUCAAGUGUUGCAGAUGCGUUUCUUUGUCCUCUUCUUUACCACAGCUUUCUCCAUGUGAAAGAAAAGGCUAAAUGCGUUGAAAGUUUCAUGGACAUGGACCAUCAACAACUUUGCAAAAAUUGAUUCUUUUCUUCCUCAAAACAACUGGCAAAUUCACCAAGCACGCCAUCACUCCAAAAACUUUCUAACCAAACAAGUAUGGAGAAAAACAACUGGCAAUUCACCAUCGGAAUAAAGAAGUCCCAAAAAGUUUGUGUCCCAAAAAUUAAUGCCCUGAUCUAUCCAGUCUCAGGAGCAUAUGGGGUCCCAAUAUUUCCUUUACCAAACUCGAAUUCCAUCUUAAAGCGCCUUGACGGCAGUCACAUUCGGAAACCAAACAUUAUCAAUUUAAGGAAGAAAUCAAGAAAGUGACAAUAGCCACGAAGGCGGAUGGCAAUUGAAUUCAAAUCAAGUGUUGAAAAAUUGCGAUGUGAACUAUAAAAAUAUUAGGUGCGACGUGCCCAUUAUGUGGUAAUAUUACGUGAUGCACUAGUAUUAAUAAAAAUUCAUAGCAUUAACCUGUCUGAAAAACACUUACGAUUAUUAUUUGAUGACAGAUGAUUAGUUUUAGUGCACCACACGUGAGCUAGCGAGUAUGGUCUUAGUAAUAGCCUCUCCGUCAAUCAUACUAGCUUAGCUGAGGACAUGGUACAGUACGAGCAGAAUGGAGAAGAAAAUGGUUGUUUGACGGAGUGCAAGUGACAAAAUUUGGGGCAGAAAUAACAGAAGGGAAGUGUAGUCAUGAACAUCUAUCACUUCACCUUCCAAAAAGCUAGGACAGAGACAGGAGAGAGGUGAUGCAUGCACCAAAUCAAGUCAUCAUUCAACCAAUUCAACAGGAAAGGUUGCUCAAAAUCUUGAAAACCUUAGGCGGUGAACCAUCAAGAGACAAGACGCGUGAAGAAAGAAACAUGGCUGGAGAUUAGGACUAAAACUUACCAGAAAUGCAAUUUCAGAAAGCCCCUCUUUCCUUAUCAGACUGUACCUAGCCUUCGGCACCCAAGAGUGAAUCAUGCAACCCAAUGAUGCCCACAUGUUGAAACUCAAUGAAUCGCCAACAAACAUGAUGUUCUUCCCCCUCCAUUUCUCCAAGAAAUACAGCCCAUUAAACCUGCAAAAAAAAAGUAGCAGAGUUGGAACUCCAAUCCCAGACCAGAAGAGAAUUCAAGAAACCAAAGUUGAGAUUGAAGAGUUCUGAGGAGCACUCAUGGAGUUUGUACCUUGGGAUGUUACAUGAAAAUGGCUGCCACCUGUAUUUGAGGUACAACUUGUCAGGCCUCUUGUAGAGGAGACAGUUGAAUUCUGUAUCAAUGAAGGGACAUGAUGCAUAAUCAUAAAGGGGAUAUUGAGCAUCAUAUACCCAUUUGCCUCUGAAAAUGUUGCAACCAGUGGCUAGCAUUGUGGCUCCAAUUGAACUAGUGGUACUAAUAUUGGCAGCAUUCAAGAAAUUCUCGAUUUCAUCAUCAGCUUUUGCUGUUUGGCAUGAACAAAGAAAGAGUAAAAGUACUGAAGGGAUGAACAGAAAUCUCAUCUUGGAUUUCUAGCCCAGCAGAUUUGUCGGAGCUAAAUAACGAGGUUUUGAGGUAAAGUUUGUCGUUAAGAAAUGUGUUUCAUAUACUAUAUAGUGUACAACAUUAUAUACUAAUAUUGUGCGAGACUUGUGGACUCUGGUUAGAAAGAGAGAGAGGGAGAGAGAAUGAUGAGAAAGUAUUCCCAGUUGCACAUGCCCUUGAAAAUUAGAUGAACCCCACCUCCCCCAGGCGCCAACAAACAAGUGUCUCUUUUUUUAAAUAUAUAUAUCCAUUUGUGAAUUGUGAAUUUCUACAAGAAGAAUUAAAAAAAAAAUUGUGAUUAAUCUGAUCUUGUUUGGGCUAUAUGCUGGACUUUAGCCUGUGGGGUUGGUAAUUUUUUUUUCUUUUUUUUUUUUGUUGCAUUUGAAAUAUUUUGAAACCUCAUUUGAGUGUUCUUUUUCUUUAAAGAAAAGGAUGGCCUUUUUUAUAAAGUUCUCUUUGUGUACUUUUCUUGUGUUUGGUAGGUGAUUCUAAAACUUUUGGUAAAGGUGGCAAUAAACAUUAUUAUUAAUUGCAUAUGCUAAGGUUAAUUGUCUCUAGCAUCAUUAUUAAUUAAGCUGCACAUUUUGUUAAUGACUUCCACUCGCAGCUGCCUCUCUUUCUCUUCUACACUACUAACAUGCGAGAGUUUAUCAAAACCAUGGGCUAUAUAUAAUACAUAGUAUUAGAUUCUGUUUCCUUCUCUUUCUCACAUUUGCUCUUAUUAACUACAAGUGGCUUAAGCAUUAUUUUUCCUUUUUAAACAUUUUAGGAAAUGAAAUUUUUUGAACAAACUUGGAUUGACCUAAACUACGGUCAAUUUCUAGUGCUGAUUUAGGUAAUGUUUGGAUUGUAAUUUUUUGGAGUUUCUAUAGAAAAUGUAUGGUAACGAUUUGAUAUAUGUGAAGUAAAAAGACGAUCAGAAAACGUAUUUACGAAAAAUGUAGAGAUUUUUUAGUGAAAAAUUCCUUUCUAAACAAGCCCUUAGACUUUUGUAAAAACUUCAAGAAAUCAAAUGGAGGCCAUAAUUCAAUUUGUUUCUUUUGUUAAAAUCAAGUUCCUAGGAUAACUAGUGAACAGAUAAAUCACAUGUAAGAAAAGCUCGACAUUUUUUUCAACGGUGAGAAUUUAAUCUUAGUCUAUUUUACUCUUUGAUCCAUCCUAGAAAUUGAAUAAUUACACGCACAUUUCCUCUAACGCUUUUGUAUCAUUGAACUAACCCACAUAAUAUAGAAAAUAAAAAUAAACAAAAUCAUGAGUUUAAAGAGUUGUUGUGGGAAAUUAAAAUUUAAGUCUAGAACUAGACGAGGUGUCUUUGUAAUUACGACAAAGCUCAAGGGUGGACGGUAGUGUUAACAAAAUUCCUGCCGUGCUCGUGCUUCUUCUUCUUUCUUUAUCAUAUUGUUAGAACUUUCCGCGUGAAUUUUCUUUGCUACCAUAAUCACAUUCGUCCAAUUAAAGUAGUGGAGGACACCAGUGACUGUUGAUUGAGACCAGGCCGCACCACAUAUUAUUUGAGUCUGAUAAUACUUUAUUUACAUGGCAAGAUAAAGAGAACAAAAUGAAAUUGAUGCCUUGGAAGAUUGAAGAUUCAGCAAUUGAGACUUGCUGACUUUUAUCUUAUUAAAGUUACAAUCAAUCCAACAUCAUGGAACCAUCCUCAAUCCUUUCUUUUCAAUUUUUUUUUUGUCUUUUCUUUUUAAUUUAAUCACUCUACUAGAAGUCUGAAUUGGUAUUGUGUUUACAAUAUUGUUGUCAUUAAUUAAGUAAGAGUACUUGUAAGGUGGAUGGAAUUAAUUGGACAAAAGAGCUGAUAUGACAAUUUAGGGAUGAUAGUUUCUUUCUGCCAUGUAUCCAAUAGUUAUUUGCUUAGCCAUCACUCUUUAUCUCCGAAGCAACCAUCCUGCUAUGUGCUCGACACUUGUGAACUUUAAUAACUCGAAGGCUUAUGAUUGGAAAUUAUUGUGUUUUUGGUUACGUACUCUGGUUAUUUUCUUGCGAAAAUGGAUAAAAAUGAUGAAGUGGCACAACACCUGUAAAAUGUAGUAUUCAGCUAAUUAAUUCAUGGAGGGGACUGUUUUCAGGCACCGUUUUGGAUUGAGGGAUAGGGGUUCAUUUGUGAUUAUUAUUUGGACAAGAAUUCUAUUAUUUUUUAAUAGAGGAAACUUUCUGGCUAGUGAGGGCAACGGGGUGGAAUUGGGGCCCGCCCCCACUUCCCCCUCUUCUUCUGUGAGGUUAAUAAAAAUUUGUUAUAUAAUUUUAUUAUAAUUAAAUUCUAGCAAAUAAUUAAGUAGUAAAAUAUGAAUACAUCAUCAAAUCAUUAUCCGUUGUAAUUUUAUAAUUAAAAUUCAUAAAAAUAAUCAAACAAAAACUAUUUGAAUAUAAUCUAACAUGAUGAAACAAAUACAACUACAGUAGUCAAGUUUUCACUUUUGAAAAAAAUACAAUCACUAACUUAUUAUUGUAUUUUUUUGAAAAAAAAUUGUUAUUGUGUUAAGUGUAAUUGAGGAUUUAGUGUAAAUGUAUUAGUAAAUUUAAUAUAACUAAUUAAUAAUUUCUAUUAGUAGACAUGUAUAAUUAUUAGUAUAAUUGAUAAUAUCAAUUAUAUUACAUAUGCUUAUAUAUAUAUAUUAUAUAAUACUUAUAACUAAUAAUAUCAUUAUUAUAAGUUUGAAACUAAUUAAAUUAAAUGCUAUAUAUAUACAUAUAAAUAUAUAUAUAUAUAUAUAUAUAUUAACGGGUGGCGGGGCAGGGGUCCUUAACGGGGGAAAAUCCCCCCGCCCCAACCCCCAUCCCCUUAUCCCCCAUGGCGCGCAUCUGUCCCAAUUGCCGUUCCUAUUUUUGGGAGGCCCUGAACUAUUCACUUUACAUGGUUUUGGUCCCUAAAUUACAAGUUAUCACAAAUAAACCCAUAAACAAAAAAAAUGCUUAGUUUAAGGAUUUCCGUCAAAUUUGAGUGUUAAAUGUAACGGAGCUAGGGGCAAAACCAAUCAAAAAGAAAAACCAACCCAUGAUUUGAUUAAAAACCUACUAUAUUAAGCCAACUGAUAACGUGAAAUUUAAUGGUUUAUCAUCUUCUUUCAUCUUUCACCUUUUCUAGCCUUAAUUUGAUGAAAUAAUCAGUUACUAGACUUUUUAGACUAUUUUGUGGGUUUUUUUUUUUUGGUUGGUUUUGUUCCUAAUUCGGUCACAUCUAAUGGCCAAAAUUAAUGAAAAUCCUUAAACUAAGCAUUUUUUUUUGUUAAGGACUUAUUUGUGACAAUUUAUAGUUGAAAGGCAAAAACCAUGCAAAGACAAUAGAUUAGGGACUGUCCGAAAAACUUCCUCUUUUUAAUAUGUUUUCCAACCAUCUUAUAUUUUGUAUACAUCACUGUCAUUACAGCACAAAAGUGUCAUAAUAAACAAUACCAAAAAAUUUCCCAAAUGGCUUGCAACCCAUACAUAAUAUAACAAGGAGCAGUCGUAGACAGAACGUAAUGGUGGUACCUUUUGAUUUUGAAUUUUGGGCAAAUUUCUAAGUGUCAAUAAGGGUGUCUUUGGGGCUGUCAAGUAACAGUUGAAAAUCAAGAAAUGAGUACCUAAUAGAGUAUAAAAUUGAUUGGUUUUCGACAUUACAGAAUUCAAUUCAGGAGUCUUUGAGUUUUGACAUGAUGAAAAUUGAAGAAGGGGCUCAUGUUGUAGGGUCUGCCGUUUGUCCCAAGAAUCGAUCUUCUCCACACAAAAAUGAAAACACAGCAAUAGCCAUAUGCAUGGCGGCAUUCCUCCAUACUUCUCUUUCAGCGUUAGUCAAUCCCACGUAAUAAUUCAUAGUGCCACCAAAGCCGCCUCCCCACCACUUCUUGCUCUUGGUGCUAACACCCUUGCACACACGCAUGGUGGGCAAUGGCGCACACAAUACAUAUACAUAUAUAUAUAUAUAUAUAUAUAUAUAUAUAUAUAUAUAUAUAUAUAUAUAACAAUAUUUGGGGGAAUUAUUUGAGGUGGAUUUUAAAAUAAAAUGCUAGUUAAAUAUUACUUGUUCUGAAAUUUUUAUAGAAAGGAAAGUGCAAAAAGAGGAAAGAUGUAGGGAGAAGCGAAAGGGACUAAAAAUGGUGUGACUCGGACUUUUGUUCUAUGGCAACUAUGGAAAACCUUUAGUCUAGGAUAAUUUUUUAAUGUAAAUCGCUGCACUUGAUUUUCAAUAAGAAACACUUCUUAAUCUAUACGUUAAUUUAGAGGCUUUCUUAAAGAACAAAUAAAAUGAAUUCCAAUCAUUCAAUUGGUGGCCCCAAAAUGGUACUUUUUUUUUGGAAUAAAGGAGUCUUGUAACAUUGAUUAGUUACUUAUGAAUUGUGGGGGAUGGGGUCAAGUUUAGAACUAUAUGGAAACAGCCACACUGUCUAGUAGUUUUUUUGUAUAGUGCUUCACAUGUGGGUUGGUCACUAAGAUAAGACUAUCAACUUGUGAGUUGUGAGGCCUGAAAAAAAAGAACUCUUUUUGUAUGGAGAUCUUGAUCAGGGAAAUGAGGAACAGAAUCCACUUGGGGGUUUGCCCAAAAUGAAGAUUUCCACCCAAAUUUAAGUUUGGCCAGAGUACCAAAGAUCACGUUAAUGUAAUCUACAAUUAUAGAGAAGUCACGAAGCUUUUAGAACUAGGUUAACCUCUCCAAUCCACUUUUGAAGUUAUAGAUCAUGUUUUGGUAUAUAUCAAUUAGUCAAUAACAUUAUUGUCAAGCCUAAUCUUGCAUGCAAAAUCUAUCAACAACAAAUACAAUGCUCAAUCAUUGAAAGGUUAGUACAAUACCGAAAAAAAAUAAUUAAGGCCAAAUUAAUCCAAAUAUUUCAUAAUUUCUCAAAUUAAUCCAAAAGGAAAUGGUGCAUGUCUCAAAUUCAAGGCUAAAGAACUAGAUAUUUUGCUCUUAGACCUACCAAGUAACAGCUUUGUUAGGAUUGCAUUUUUCUAGAUUUUUUCGUAGAAAAAUUACUGUAAUGAUUUGAUUUAUGUGAGGUAAAAAGGUGAUUGUGAAAUGUGUUCAUGGAAAACAUAGCAAUCUUUCUUUGAAAAAUUACUGUCCAAACAAGGCUAACUUGGUAAGCCUAAGAGCAAAAUAUCUAGUUCUUUAGAACUUGAAUUUGAGACAUGCACCAUUUCUUUUUUACUGUCUACGAUUUAUUUAAAGCUUUUGUCACAUUUGAAUGGUGAUGACAGAUAUUGCUUCUAAAGCAAGUAGGGCAACUUUGGCCACAUGUAAUUUGUAACAUUCAUUUGUUGUCUUCUUGCAACGUCAAGUCAUCCAGCCAUCUUGAUCGUAAUUGAUAGCACCCUCUAACAUAGUGGAUUGGCUAAAACAAGAAAUCUUGACUGCAAUUGAUAGCAUCCUAUAAUAAACGUACCAAACUUACUUUACCAAGUAACGAAUUGGGUGUUUUAGAAGCCAAAAGGAUAAUGGAUUAGGUUCCAAGAAUCACUUUUUUAUCUCUAUUUUGUCCCCUCUCACCCUUACUUUCUAUCCUCUCCCUAUUGAAGUUUUUUAACUACUUUUUUGGUUAUACAUGGAGGACUACAGUAAAGAAUGAGAGGGGAACGCUAAGAGCCCAUUUAAAUUACUAUUUUUUUUAAUUUUUAUAAAAAAUGUACCGUAACAAUUUAAUAUUUAUAAAGUAAAAAAAAUAAUUAAAAAGUAUAAAAGUUCUGACCUAAUUCUGACCCGCAACACGACUAAAACGACCCUGAAUACAACCAGUCCAGAAUCUGAAUGAAGCUACUUCUUGUUUUGUUUAUCUGUGCCAAAGAAGGAAAAAAUCUCAUUACGUCUCGAUUGUGUCCCUUUUUUGUACUAAAAAAUCGUUUGCUAAAAAUGUUUCCACAAAGCUUUCGGGGGUGGGGUAUACUAUGCAACCUAGGGUUGUCUAGGUCACAAGCUUUUCUUCUUUUUCAUUGUCUCUGUGUAAAAGUAAACAAGCUACUCCUUUUAAAUGGUAAAACGCUGGAAUGUAUAAAACAGGAAAUUUUCAAUAGCUUUUCUGUCCUGAAUAAUCUGGUUUAACAGUUAUCCUACCGUCCAACUUCUGUGAGGAGCUGGAUCCAACCUCAACUAGGAAUUUCUUUCCUGGAUCAGAAUGGCAUCCAACCAUCAUUUUCCCCCAGUUUCCUAAUGGAUAAAACAUAGUGGCGGCCUCAGUAUUCAUGAAACUUGAAUUGUAAAUAAAGAUUAAUAAAUUAACUGCAAAUUUACAGGCAGCCACAGACCAGACAAUCAAGGGAUUUACCAUUAGAAGCCAUUCAUUCAUUCAUUCAUUCAUAAAACUGGGUUUUCUGCAAAUCAUAUGAUAGUAAAGACCAUUAAAUGGAAGAUUUCCCCUUCUAUACAUAACUAACUUAAACCCUAUUAUACUCUUUUAAGGCGAAACAUCUCCGCUGGCCAUUAUUUACACUCUUUUAACACAUUGUCAGCUUCCAUUUGCUGCAGGUGGAAACCAAAUAGUACGAACUAAGGCAAUCUUAUUUACGGCAGCAGCACAUUUAGACAAGCUCCCACUCAGUUUCAGAACUAUGAACUGGAAAUGACUUGGUGUUAGACUCUGCAGGACGAUCGGUCAUUGCUCUCUCUGCACCCUCUUGAUUUGAGUUUUGCUCGGUGUAUCUCGCUGCAAGCUGCUCAUAUUCCUUCUUUUUUAACCUCAUCCUGGAGGAGAAAGCUUCGCGCAAUUUUUUCUACAAGAAGAAAUUUGUCCAGUCAGGGAAGAAAAGUUCACACAAGAAAUCCUUCAACUCUAACAGAUGAGAGAGAGAGAGAGAACCUUGUAGGAUUUGUGAUUGCCCUUCCCUUGAGGUAAAAAAUGAAGCUCAUCCCCCUCCACCAAGACACAUGUUUCCCCUAAUUUUGACUCAUCAAACGGCUCAAUAAUUUCCACAUCCGGGUCCACAGUAUCAUCAUUCUUGGCUGCAUUUACACUAUAGUCAUCCAAUCUUUCUGUCAAGCAUAGAGAAAGAACAAUAUUAGCAAAAGCAGAGACCUACUGAGGAAGAGGCAGGAAAGUCACUGGUACAUAAAUUUGGUGCCUAGGUUGCGUCAGCCCAUACUGUGCUUGGACAAGAUUUUUUUUUAUUGUAUCAUAAACACGUCUUCCAAUUACUUUGUUUAUAUCAAAUCACAAAAAGUGCUACAGUUAUCCUAAAAUUUUUUUCAUGAUCUUGCCUAUCCAAUUUUCUGGGGGAGAGAGAGAUAGAGAUCAUGAGAUUAUAUGAUUGUUUGUCGUGAAAAAUUUUCAGCCAAAAUGCACAAUAUAGCAGGAGUCCAAGUUCAGUCUCCACGUUGAGAAGACAACAGGUAAUCCCAUCUAGUAAUGCCAUAAUUGACUUCACUUUAGGUAAAAAUUGAUGCACUUCAUCUCACUUUGCCUAGAUGCAAGUCCUAGAAUGACUUAUAGAAAUGAUCCUCUCACACAAAGUUUAACCCUUUUCUGGACGCAAUAGACCGAGACCUUUAAUGAUUGAAUUACAUUCCAUCACUUGGAACUCGACUUUCCAAUAACUUAGCCAUAAGAAAGGUUGGAAUACAAUUUGGUUUUAUUAAUACCUUGGUGGGCCAUGAAGACCUCCUCCUCAACAGAUUUUAUGCUGUCUGUUCCAGUUGCAAUUGUCUUCUGAGUCUGGGAAACCACUGUGCUGUUUGUACAUGUGCCUACAGCUAAAGCAGCAGUUAGGGUGCGUCAAAUGCAGAAAUCAUAAUGAAAUAAGUGAAAGGACAAAACUGAAUCCAGUUUUAGAUGAUACCAGAGGACUCUGAUGAUAAGCCAUCAGAAGGAGAAUCAGCUUGCUUCUGCUCAGCUGAUACAACUGACACAAUUGUUUUAGCAGCGGUAGCUGGUGAAUUAAAUGAAGCACGAGACAUAGGCAGACUGGUAUCAUCCAUAGGUUUACAAAGCUUCUCAUUUGCAAUUCUGGAGCGUUCUUCAGCGCCAGCUGGUGGCGAUAAGACAUCAACACAGCCAGAGGCCAUUUGACAACUCUUUUUCAUUUGAGAAAAUGAGGACAGGUUUCUUAAAUUCUCUGAAAAUGGUGCAACUGGCCCAGUCACAGGUGGCAUAAAAUUUACCAUAGAAUUGCUUUUCCUACUGGCUACCGGACGUCUGUAAAGUCCGGUUUUACUUUUACCUGUAUGCACCAAGAGUAAGAGCUAUAACUUUCACCGUGAUGGAAAAGAAUGAAAAGAACCCUAUUCCGCCAAAAUUUUGAAAAAGAACAGAAAGUUCAAAUCUUUACCAGAAAUUACUUUAGACUCAUCACUUAAUUUCCAAUUGGUAUCUCUACCAUCUUUUUUAGCAUUUGCUUUCAGUAUCAUUUUGGAGUGAGCAUAAGGAUUCAAUGACAAGUCAGCAGCAGCCACUUUCACAGGAUCAACAUAUGAAUCUGAGUGCAAAUCUUUCAUCACUUCUGAAUAGAACCUCUUAACACUAGCACCAACAGUCUGGACCUGAUUUUCAACAUAUUUGACAGCAUCCUGUCAAAAAUUAAACCACUUAAAAUAAAAACACCCACACUUUGAGACUACAUACACUUAGAUUCGAUAAGACCUCCCAAGGCAAAGCACGCAUAGCACAUUAUUAGAUAAUCAAAUCAGUAAUUUUGUCUGUGAAAACCACCACUAACCAACUUCAUAAUGUAUCACCAAAAGCAAAGAUAAGAACAUAAGUGGCACCAGAGAUUACUUUAGAAUAGAAAAGAUAACUUGUAUUCACCACAAGUAAGGGCAUCUACCUCAUACAUAACCUCUUCCAUCUCCAGACACAUAGCUUCAAACUUGUCAUAUAUGUUUCCAAUCCAUGCUAAACCUUUUAAGUCCAUCAUGCAGUUACUUCAGCACGUCAAGGCUUUAAUGCUCAGCUGCAAAAUUCAACAAAGGACUUUUGUAAGAUUUACAGCAAGAGCUUGCCUAAUAGCAAGAAGCCAUCGGGUACUAAGACACAGUUUAUUAAUUAUUAUAGCAGCAUCCAUUGCAAAUUUGCUACCAAGUGACAAAACAGUAUACAAGCUGAUCAUCAAAAUUGAGCAUAAUCAUUAUAGCAUAAUGAACUCAAUCAGUCAACAAUUUUAGCCCUCUGAGUCAUAGUUCCAGUAAAUGUUCUUUAGUCCUACAAUGUACAGUUCCCUGAUGCUCAAUAACAUAAGUAGAAGGGUUGCAAGAACAAACUAGGAACCAACAUUCUAGCUAAAAUGGGGUAGAAAAAGUCCACCAAAAUACAUUUCAGGCAGAGGGCUAGAAAGAUUCAUGCACAACAAAGGUAUGGAAUAAUAUCAAGGUUGGUUGAAUGUUUGUGAUAAAAAUUCUUAGUAGUUCAACCUGAUGCAUUGUUCUAAGCUGCAUAUUCACAAUCUACAUGUAAAGAGAAAUUAAAAUUUAGAAAAAAGAGUAAUUUCAUCUAAGCAAAUCCUCCAAAUAUCCAUCAGAAAUAUAUCAUCAAUAACAUAUAAUUCGAGCAGUAAACCAGAGGAAAGAAAAUUUUCAGGGAAAAAUAGUUUUGGUAAAUGGUUAGCUGAGACAUCAAAGGAAAGAUCCUACACAUACGAAGAAGGAUGCUAGAUUCCUAAUUCAUAUUGCAAAAGCCCUCUCCAACUCAUGCCUGUCAAUCUCAACAGCAGAGGGCCUCUAAGGUAAUUAUGAAUUAAGACCUUCAAAAGUCAAGCAUUUUUACUAACUUCAUAUAAUUCCCAAAAAGCAAACAGAAUAUAGAGAUUUUCACAGCAUUCAUGGUGCAGAUUUUUUUUUUUUUGCAGAGAAUAUGACUGAAAUCUUUGCAGAAGAAGAAAGCAUAAACCUAAACUGUAGAAUUUGCAGCCAAUCUUUGGCUAAUUUGAAUCAUUCAUAACAACUACAAUUUUAUAAGCUAGUACUUUCCAAUGCUAUCAAUAGUAGGCUUCAUCAAGCAUGACUAAACAUGGAAGCAUCAGAAUGAAGAGUUCAAUUAGUCAGCAUAAUUAACUAGGGUUUAUCUUACUGCUUUCAAUUGGAAAUAAGACAGCUAUUCCCGAGGAUCUGGAACUACUCUAGUUGUUGGAUGUUUUUCUAGAGAACAAGACAAUUAUAUUUAUUUGCACGACCCCCUAAGCCAAAAACCCUAUCCUCAAAUAGACCAACUCCACAUUGAUCUGUCAAUUUCAGGAUAGACAGACGUGCUUGAGCUUCACAAUCACCAGUUUAAAUAAGGAAUUGAAAAGAAAGAAACUAGAGAUCAAGUUCAUCACCCAGCAAACAGAAUGGCCUAAAGUUGAUUCGUCAGAUUCUACAUCUUAAACACUAAAUUCCUGUACACUGCCCCCAUAUCUAUAAAUCUAACUAGACAGGUACUCAAUCAAAUAAACGAAACUGCAGGAUAUGAUGGUAUGCACAUAAGAUAACAGUAAGCAAAAUGAGGCUUUCUUCCGGUGAUGCUGCAACCCAUGACAAAGAAGAAACCCCAUAACACAUUACUUUGGCGUAUAAAAUUGGAAAUUUGAUGUCGCCUUGCAUAACAAACCUUCACCUUCUAUUAGGAAAUAUUGUCAGAAAAUUCUUUCCCUAGAUUAGAAUAUACUACUACUUCUUUCCACAUACAAGGAAUAAUUUGAUGCUUUCCAUGUUUCAGAAAAAAGUCAAUCUUUAUGCUUUCCCAUAAUCAUGUUCGUCUAAACCACCCUUAAACCCAAAUCUCCCCCGAAACUAUUCCAAACCCAUCGAUUAAUUCAUCAAACACAAGCAAGCAAACAUCCUAAAGCCACAAAAACCAGACAAAGAAAAACCCACCAGACCACAAACUUAUCAGUCAUCACAUGAUCAUGGCCACUCUCUCCCCCAAACCAACACCCCCCCCCUUCACCUUCUUCGUCCCUAGCUUCCGAAACCAUCCAAAUUUACAAAACAAAAAAAGGUACAGGAACCACAUAGCAACAGCUAAACAGCAGCUUCGACACGAAAAAAAAAAACAAUUUUAUAGUCGUAAACUCAAAAUUUUUACCAGAAGAAAUUACAGAAACACAAAAAAAAAAAGGAUAACCUGAUCAGAAGUUAGAAAUACGAGUUCAAAAAAGGAAAAAGAAUCCAAAAAAGGACAUACACAUGCUAGAUAUUUUAGAAACAUGCGAUUAAAGAAAGUGGUGAUGAUGAAUAAAGUUAAAGCAGCACACUUACAUACUUGGGGAAUACAGGGAGGCCCAGAAAGGAAAAAAGUAAUCUUUCUCUCUCACUUCUUUUUUUUUUCGGAAGAUAAUUAGGAAAGAUAAGCCAAGAAAAAGGUUAAGUUUUUAGCUUUGAAGAAAGAGAUGAUAAAUUGAAGUAUUAGUAAUAGGUCGUAACUUGGAACAGAGGUAUCACUAACAUAAAAUAGGGUAAGAGAAAGAUAAGUUUAAUUGAGUAGGAGAAUUAGAAACGUAUAGGUGGAGCUCACCUGGUUUCCUUGGGUAUGGGUUCUUGACACGUGUAUUCCUAGAAUAUACUUAAAGGUAAAAUGCUACCAACCUAAAACAUCUAUAUAUAUAUAUAUAUAUUAUAGUAAAGACUAAAGAAGGGCGAAUUUAAGAAGCGAGGAGGAGUCAGGGGAUCAAAAUUUCUACAUUUUAUGGUUUCAAUUUGAGUCAUUAGACUAAAAAAUUUAAAUACCUAGUAAGUCAUUAUUCUAAAAAUAUUUGGGUUUCUUUUUAUUAAUAUAAAUGUCAGUAUUGUCUUUUUUGCAUACUAAUAUUGUGGAAAAGAAUAAAAUUACAAUACAUGUUGGCUUUCUUUUACUUUUUCUUGUUAAUUCAAGAGUAGUUGUUCUUUUUGGGGCUAAAUAAUAUUCAUGGAAUAAACAUGUUGUGUUAUUGUGUUUUUUUUUUUAGAGUGUAAUCUAUCCAAAAUUACAAUUUUUUUUAAUUUUUGACAAGAUUAGGAUUGUAUUGUUCUAUUUACAUAGAGCAUAUUUUAUCUUUCAAAAUAGUAGUGAAGUUACCUAUGAUGUUUAGUGGAAUCACAACUUCUUGCAACUAAUUCCAUCUCGAAUUCCUUAUUCCUAAGAGUUUUUGCAACAAAACUUAAGAAAUUAAGUGAAAAAUUGCUUUUGAAAGAAGCGAAUUUGACCCCAAGAAAAAAGCAAAAAAAAAAAAGAAGAAGGGAAUUUGACCCAAAUAAGUGUCCCUCAAAAUAUAAGAAUCAGAAUUCAUUGCCAAGAAAAUUCUGCUUAUAGCGAUGCCCACUUACAAAGGAUCAACUACAAGGUCCCUGAGUCCAUGAUGUGAGAACCCUCAAAGUCCAACUCACUUUCUUUAACUUUUUGCCCUGUCUAUUCAAGGGUUGGUAAAUUAUCGUCAAACCGAAGGUAAUACAGAUUACUUGUAAUUGUAGCCCUUGUAAGAUUUACACUUUUAAGCUUUGCCUAGGCUACCAAUAAAUUUGACAAGAAAAAAAAAAGGAACAAGAAGAAGAAGAAACUUAGAUGGCACCCAAGUCAAUAGGCCGACUAAUGAUGUGGAAAUAAUGAAUGCUUUUGUCCCUUGACCUAUUAUCCAGCUUCCACUACUGUUUUCUCGACUGCCACCAGAAGUUUGAAGAAUUUCAUUACAAUUUCCAUCCUCCUACAAGCAUAGCGUCAAUACAGUUUCCUGUCACUAAUUCUUGGCGAAAAUCCGUUUUCUUUCAUUUUCAACCUUUUGGACAAAAUCCAAUCUGGAAGAGAUAAAGAAACUAUGAUACUUGACGUUUUCAGAUGGAACGUAUCCAUGAGAAUUAUGUUUGGAUAAAAUUCGCCUAGCAAGAAUCUAAGGAUAAGAUAAUGAUAACCAAUCUUGUAGACUUCAAUUUCCAAGGGAUCAUAUUUAUCGGAAAAAAAAUGAUAAAUGCAAAUAUGAUACAGAAGAACAGAUGAAGCAAAACCAAGAAAUAUAUACGAGAAUACAUUCAACAGAAAAGAUCAAAUCCAAACUUAAGAGAAACAAAGUGGUAUUAUAUUUCAAUGUCAACCAGCAGCUUGAAAAUCCCCAAAGUCAUCAUCUGGAAUGUCUUGUGUGUUUUGGUCUUCUGGAGGUUCUAAUUCUUUAGAUUGUUCUUGAGGUGAGACAGAGUCCUCUGCUGCUGAAGAUUCCUUUAGACUGAGUUUUGAAGGCAGCUCUGAUGGAGAUGUUUUAGGACUCACAACGGGCGAUAAUGGUGCUGGUGGUGGUUUGAUAGAUAUCACGGGCUCCUUUUUACUACCCUUCUCCUCCAAUGAGAGAUCAUUUAAGCCCUGUUCAAAAAACUUGGACCCAGAACUCCGACCACUUUUCUGUUGAUAAAAAGAGGGCUUAAACAAUAUUACAUGAUGGAGGGACAAAUUUACGUACCAAUUAACUCCUUCAAUGUUUGGAGAACUUACAUUUUUUAUCUGAAGUACAAGUUUUUCUCCUUCUUUUAAACUGUAAUCAACUGAUGAAGUAUGCUGAUGUUGCUGUUCCAUUUCUUCUGCAGUUUUCUUCUUGUUUAGGUACCUUUUAACAGAAAAAGCAGGCUAAAUUUGGUUAGCGUACGCAUGCAUGGGGAGGAUUAAACAAAGCUACUUUCAAGCCUUGUAAAAGUACAGAAAAUCAUGGUACUGUUCGCAAGAAUGCAGAGGAUUACUUCAUAUGGUCAUGCAGGGCAGCUUGGAAAUCAUAAGCUUCGGGUCUUUCUCGAAAUCCUAUGCCGAUGAAAGCAUGUCGAAGUCGACCUCCUGCAAAGAAUGAACAAUCCUUUGCAUGAUCUUUAUGGGCAGAUUUUCUUAAAAUUGAAAUUAUUUAAGGAAUCAUAUUAUAAGUCAAGUGCAUUUUGACCUCAUAGGCAAGCAGCCAAUGCCCUUAGAGAUUCGUGUGCUACUAUGCAAAGGAUCUAUUUAUGCUCCUACCAGUUAACAUGACCACCUUAUAUUAAUUCAGCAUCAUGUGCUUAUAAGAUCUGUACCAUUUUGAAGUAUAUUGGAGAAGAAAGUUCAUGCCUAAUAGCUAAAACCAAUUGCAGAUGUAAACACAAUUGAAUAUCGUACAGAACUAUUUGAACAAGAAAAGAAAAGAGAAAGAAAGGCUUCCUUGAUGUACAAUUAAAUUCUUAUCUACCACUUUAGUUUAUUCGAAAAUAUUAUCUACAUUCAUCAAGUCGAAUAUCUUGUAAUUCGUGAAAAAGAUUACGAGUUAGCAUGGAAAUGAUGUAGAACAAGAUAAGAAAAUCCUGGCCAUACAUUACCUUAACUUUAUCUACAAGGUACUAACUUAAAUUGAAGUUCAUUUAUUAUCAACUAAAUGAAAAUAUUUUGCAAAGUCAACCAUGACAUUUCCUAUGAAACCCAUUCGCUUUCUUAAAAAACCAUAUUCUGACUUCACAAUUCUUGAACUUAAACAAUUAUAUUUAAACUUGGGAUGCGAUUAAACUACUCUAUUCUUGUACUUAAUAAUGCUUCUUAUUUAAAUGAUUUAACAUCAAAACCGAAGAAGUGGACUAAAGAAAGCUCAACCUAGGGAGGAGAAGUCGUAUGACAAGAGAAUACAGGAGAACCAUUUAUGGUAUUCUAAUUUUCCAACAGAAGAAAAGUGAUACUCUACAGGAUUUGGAAUUUAAAAGAAUAAGAAAGAUAGAUUACCAAUGUUUUCUUCGACCCGCACAACAAAAUAUCUGCAGAAGAAUGUGAGAUAUAUCAAGCAAGUUAGUACAGAAUGAUUUCUGAAUUAUCCAAGUCAGUGAGAUUAAUGAAUCCCAAGUCCAAGUUCAAAAAAUCAAUCAGUAUGCUCUCAUUAUCCAAUAUUUUACUGCAUUUCACUACUUCACAGGGCAAACAUUAAAAAAAAGAAAAAAAAAACUGGUAAAAGCAUAACUGAUGGCAUCCAGCGGACAAUCACCAAAAGCAGAUCUUUUGCAUACACCCCCAAAAUGGUGCUACAAGUUGCCUGCUACUAACUUAGAGCAAUAAUAAAUUUGUUGUAAGAGGGAGUUGAAAGAGAUGAUGUUGGUGACAAGUUAUCUAAACCUGCUGCUGUCAAUCACAGGCUCCACAGGAUGGGGCUCUCCAUCUCUUAGAAAUGCCCGAGCAUACAAUUCACCUAUUUGGAAAACAACAAUUUUCAGCAAAUCAUUACUGAUGGACAAAAUUGAUUUCAUUUGCACAACCUUUUCCUAUUUGGUAGCAACUAAACAACAAAAAGCUACCUGUUGUCUUAUCUUCAAGUCUGAUAAUGCAUUCCUCUCCUUUGCUAAUAACUUUUAAAGCACCCUCCCAUGCCCAUUUAUUGACAUUCCACUCAUCAGCCCUACGAAGAGCAAGAAGUCAAUUAGCAAAAUAGAAUCCAGGAAGCAUAUUUAUAUAUUUCCUGACUUUGACAUGACUCAGGUCGCACGAAUCAGGAACAACAUCAAAAACUUUCAUGUUAAGUAUAAAACUCUGCAUGAAAUGCAAAAUGGGUCCUAAAGGAUCUAACUCUCCAGCACCGGAUUAGAUCUAGCAACCCAGUAAUCUGGCAAGAUAUGACCAGAAUAACUCAUAUUUGAGUCUAUCCCUCAAAUGACAAAAAAAUUGGUCCAUACCCCUACAAGCACCUUAGUAAUCAGUCAUAAAAUUUUUGGAAUAAGUUUGUCCAUCCAAACCUUUUUGAAAUCUCCAAUGAUGGACUACAUUUUUACUUUCUUGGCAGAAUAUUAAUCAAACCAAUGCAUGAAAAUUUUCACUAUUUGCUUCAGCUUUCUAUAACAGUAACACAACAUGUAUCUCUUCCAGGGGUAAGACAAAUGCAAUCACAGUCAAGAUAAAUGCAAAAAGCUGAAGAAAAUUUUAUGGACAUAUUACUAGGACUCAAACCUAGGCUAAAACAUCAAACUGAAGUUACAUCUCUCUCUCUCUCUCUCUCGGUGUUGCAAAAGAAGAUACCAUAGAGAAACAAUAAGACCUAUUCCUAUAAACAAAAGUCAUAUUCAAAAGAGAUCACUCAGAAAUACCUGUAAGAAGCUGCACUUUUUCUUGGAGGGAUCUGUGGAGAGAAUAAACAAGAUUAAGUUUAAACUGAUGGUGGAGUUAAUUACACUCAAAUUUAUAGAGGAUAGAACACUGAUGCAACAUGGCAGGAGCAUCCUCUAUGCAUCUCAUUUUUGUCUUGCUAUUAGAUAUCUGGACUAUGAUACGAUCAUGAUCUACCAAAUCUUCACACUACAAGGAUCAUCACCUACUUAACAGUGACAAAGAAGAUUUAAUCAUAGAUGCACGAUGACAGAGAGAACCUUUUGUUCAAUAAACACUUCCUGAACUAUAUCCUCCAACAAAGAUACCUCUAUGCAAUCCAAUUUCCACACUGAGGAGGUGCUUUACUUGUAUCAAAACAACAAAUGGCUGGACCUAACGUCUAAGACAGCAAAGAAUUUUCUGAGCACAAUUAUGAACUGCUUCUACAGGAGUACCAUACAGUUCUAAAGUAACAAUUACGUUCAAAUCACUAAAUAACAGGAAAACCAAAAACAUUCCUUCUCAUGGACCAACAAAUAGGAAAUUGUACUUUGCCCUAACAAACGGCAUUCAUCAGAAUAUACCUUUGCAAAAAAAAAAUGAAAAACGGCCAGUUUUCCCUUACUAUAUCACAUCCUCAUGAGUAUAUGUAAGUUAUACAGAAAGCAUAUACAUUUAACUUCUGGAAAUUAAUACAUCAAUCUUUUGCUCAUCAAGCAUUUAGUUUCACAACUUUGCAAACCACAGUACAGCAGCACCUAAAAAACUGGGCAUUAUUGAACUAGAUUGAUUAAAAUCUAACACAGAUAAAUACAUUACAUAGCAAUUCACAAAAAUAGUCACGGAAAGACAAAGCAUUAAUCUCAAAAAAUUCACCAUUCAACGAUACAAUCUAAAUAAAUGGCGCCUGCAUUGAAGUAAUUUCAACAAUUCAAAUCUAAAAAACCAAACUAAACGUCAGUUGAAGAAAAACAUUUUUUUUACACAAAAAAUGACUAAACCCACAAUUUAUAUAUAUAUAUAUAUAUAUAUAUAUAUAUUUUGGUAAGCUAAACCCAUAAAAUAUGCUAUCAAGCAGAUAUAAAAAUUGACCCCAAUUCGUUACCUGUAAUCGAACCAACACAAGUUCAUAACUUUAUACUACAAACAGCACAAAAUCACUAAUUCUCCAAAACCCUUUUCAGUAAGUAACUCAAAAAUGGAAACUUUAUACUCUUUUCAGCAAAAAUUAAGGAAAAAGGGAUUGGCAAAUAGAGAGAGGGAGUACCAAAUAGACGUAGCAUUCUGAGACUUGGAAGAGAAUCAGCUCAAUAGCUUCUUCAAUUUCUUCUUUUUCAUCUGUUUUCUUUUCUUUCUCCAUUGAUGUGAUUGCUAUUCGAAAAGGAAUUUCUCACGGGAAUGAGAAAUUAAUGCAAGCAAAAAGCGCGUUGUUUUCUUUCCCCCCCUGUAAUUUAACUGCGCUGAAGUUCUUGACUGUUUCGCUUCCAAUCUGGAAUUGGCAAAAUGUGUCUGGGGAAAAAGAAUUUUAGGGGUAGGCUGGGAAUUUGGAAAACAAGAAGGUUGGUGACUAAUAUUAAAAAUUUUAUUACAAAAUAGGAUACCGGAGUUGAUGGGACUAUCCAAUUCUGAUAGACUAGUUUACUUCGAUUUGAUUGUGAUUAUUGUGGACCGUAGGUUUGAAGCAUUCUGUAGGCUUUCGGCCGUCUGAUUCUUUGACUAUGGAAGUCAACCAGUUGUUGAUCAUGAGUUGGUAUGGUGGUUUGCUUGAUUUAUAAGCAAAGGAGAUCCAGCAAAGUCCUUAUGAUUAUCUGAAUUUAGGUGAGAUUAGAUACAGGGAAAGAAAAAAGAAAAGAAAAGAAAUCAGAUUUAUGUAUGAAUAAUUUGGAUAGGAAUUAAAAUAGAUAAUGAAUUUUUUUUACUAAAAAAAAAAAGUUGAAAAUUUCCUAUCAUACAUGCAUGGUCAUCAAAAUAGAAAGAAGUUUGAGGGUGUGUACAUGAAGAAAAUUGAGGUCGAAACCCGGAAGUCUCGUCCACUCUUAUAACUUACAAGAAAGUCAAGGUAUUAUUCCAAAGUUGGUAGAGAAUAUCCGGAUAUUUGCCAUCUCUUUUGCAAUAACAUUAGCCAUUUGUUCACCUAGAAAACAACUUACUACUACUAUAUGUUAUGAUUUAGUAGAUCAAGAUGAAAAUUGUCGAACACAAAAAUGGUAUUAGAGGUUCCUGCUAUCAACAUAUGUGGUGUAUAGUUUGGACUUUGGUAUAUAGUUUCAGAUUGAAUAGAAAUACAGGGCCUAGCUUUUGCUUAGCAGUCUUUUUGCUUUUAAUAACUAUUGGCAGUAUGAUCAGUUGAGAAUUUGCUGCUUCUUCAGAGCUGAAGAAGUUCGGGAAAACAUUAGCAGCUAAGUAUAAUCGGUCGAUGAGUAAAAAUGUACAAAAAUCACCUUAGAGGUUCCUGCUAUCAACUUGCAAUGAAGAGCAUAAGGGUGUAGUUCACAGACCAGAGGCUGCAUUGGAGCAACAGUUGCUCCAUGCUAACUCUUUUCAGCACAACUCAACCAAGACAGUGAUUUUGGUGACUUUUCGUGCUUGUUUGUAACAAGAAAUGGAUCCAUUUCCUUCUGACACGAUUUCAAAAGUUCAAAUUCCUAUAUAGCCUAUGGAUUUACAGAUAAAUUUCCUUAGGAGCACAGCUGAGAUGCUGACUUAGUAUGCUGCCAAAAAAUGAUUCCUCAACGCGAACAUUUAGUACAUGAACUCUGUAGAUACGAACUCCAAUUGGUAACGCUAAUGAUGAGACGGUUUGAGGGUGAUGCUAGUAAGGCACAGUUGCAGUCACUGUCCUGUGCCUUGGAUCCGUGAGAACCGUAUUUACAUUGAUAAAGCCUGCUUCUCUCAUUACUCUUUCAAGAUCUGUCAAAUAAUACUCAUCCAGGAAUGGUUCAGUACUCUUCAUUAGCGUAAAUAGCACCGGUGAUAAUUCCUGAGACAUGUAUAAGGACAAUCUAGUUCAGCAGCGUGGCUAGGAAAACCACAUUAUACCAGUCAUCUUGAGAAUUUUUGCAGAGCAGGAGAUGGUAGGGAACAGAAACACCUAUGAACUAACGCUUUCAUGGUCAAAGUUAUAUGAAUCUAAGAUGUUGCUCUGUAUUAUAUAUCUGUAUUGCAUAUAUUACAAUGUUGUCUCCUAUUUCAACAUGUGCAGAAAUUUUGAACAUGUAGUGCUAUUAGUUUGCUCAAUCGCACAAACUGUAGGCAGAGAAAAGGAAUAGGAGAAGAGAACUUGCCUGAAGAAUCUUUGAUUUUGGCUGCAAAAAGGAAACAAGUGUUUAUCAGAUUGAAAUGAUCCUUUGGUAAAUAUACAAUUCAAAACCUCAGGAGUUAUAUUAUUUACCGAGUUGUCUGUGAUUGCAAAAGUUCCUCCAGGUCGAAGCAGUCGAAGGGCUUCUCUCACCAUAUUUUUUAUCGCUCUUUCAGGGCAUUCAUGGAACUGUAACAGCUCAAAUGAUUGAGACUCUGAAUCAUAGCAUUAUUAUUUCAAAGAGUUACCGGAAAAAAGAGCAUGGCACGCACUUAAAAUUCUAAAGGUGCAACCAUGGGCAAGAGUACUACAGCAGCUGCCUAGGCAAAACUUGUGGAGGCUUAUACACCAAAGAAUGUUUUGUCAAUUUUCAUGCAACAUGCUUCUUGCGUGAAAAUUGAGCAAGUGAAGAUGCUAUUCUUCAUUUGGUACUUUAUCCAUGACAUUGUAAGGUGGGCGGAUUACAGCCCAAACUUCUAAAAGUAGAAAGAGCCACAACAUGUUAUAAAAGAGUUUUCUCCUAAAAUGUUCAGUUUUAGGAAGAACAACAUGACUCUCUGAUGAUGAUUUAGUACUCAUUCCAACAGAAAAUGUAUGACAUGCUUGCAUUCUGUCAGGAAUUUUUGACAUACCACAUAAGCAAUAGAAAGAAUGUCAAAUGAUUUGGAAGGUAAGCCUGUACUUUCACCAUUAGCAUGGACCCAACAGAUAGGAUUCAUUCUUGGGUUGCUUUUCUUUUCUUUAUAUUGAGCAACAGCAAGAAAAUAUGGUGACAGAUCCAGGCCCUGCAGAAAAUGCAGCAAUAAGAUUUUAGAGCACUGGAAAGUGUACCGGAGAGUAGAUUUACUUUACCUGAAGUACUGUUUGAAGCCCAAUUACAAAAUCUUUUAGCUAGAUCUCUUUAUUUUGAGACGUGCUCUACUUUUCAACCUUUAUUUCUUGUAACAGACUCGGUAAAUAAAAUAGGUACCAUGAAGAGGUUACUUAAGUAGAUGCUGCAUUGAUUUUGUAGGUUACUAUUGCAUAUUAGAUCAUUUCACUUGGGGAGUGGAGAAACUAGCUAGAAUACUUACAGUCACUCUAGCAUUGGGAAAUUUAUCAGCAAGGCAUCUUGUGCUGACACCAACUGAACAUCCGAUAUCAAGAAUUUGUCUGACAAUAUUGUCUUCUGAAUAUUUCUGAUGAUGUUCUUCAAUUGCAUUCAGCCAAUUUCCACGAACUACUUGAUUAGCUUCAUCCAAUGAAGAAGCAUAUGGUAUUGCCCGUCUCAUCAUCGACAUAGUUGCAGCCUCUGCCUCAGCAGCAGCCUGUUGAAGAAUCUCAUUAUGGAAUGCCUCGAAACUAGUGAGUACUGUACUCAUUGCUUCUGCAUUACUACUACUGAAGCAACUGGUAACAUAAAAUCAAUGAUACAUAUUCUUGUAAUAAAUUCGAGUACAUUAAAUCAACCAUUAUGCACAUUACCAGCCAGGAAAGAUUGCCCUCAUCAUAUGCAUGGAAGGGAUUGAGAUAAUCUGCAUAGGAACCGCAAGUAUGAAACAAAAUCAGUACCCAAAUUAGUACACAUAGGAAAUGCCGGUUUUUUGUUCUGAGCUCUAGAUUCAAGGUCACUUCCCUAAUCUUUUAGUAGGGUGUGAGGAAAGAAAAAAGAAGAAACUUAAGCAACUUAAAUUCUGGAAUACAGAGUUGUAACAAGCUUCUUUUAUUGUAGAAUUAUCAACAUCAAUGUUAUAUUGAAGUUAUCAUUGUUGCUGUUGAAACAUAAUCUCUUAAUUAAAUGACAGACUACAAAUUCAGGUACAAACUUUCUAACCACACAGCUGCUGCUAGUCCAAUGAACGAUUAUUGGAGACAAGAAUUUAAUCCAGUCUUCACCAGUACCACAAUAAUAGAGAACUUACAAUCAGGGUAAACAAGAGAGGGAUCCUCAAUACUGUCCAUUUCUCUGUAUACAUCUGAUUCCAGUAUCUGUCUAGUCAUUUCCCUCCAUGGAAUAUUUGUCUUCUCAGCUGUACUGUUUCAAAAUCCCACCAAAAUAUUCCCAAAGAAAACCGACAACCUUUUUUACACUCAAGAAUUUCAGCAGGAAAAAUCACCAAAAUAAAAAAUGAAGCCGCAUUUCUGAUGUAGAAUACAGUACCUUAUGAGUACUUGUCUUGCGCCAAAUUUCAUUAUAGAGAAGAGAGGUUUGAAGGAAAUGAGAGCUCCAACAAGGCGAGAAAGCGGAGUUUCACCGGUCCACCGCGGCCUUUCCAGCUGUCCCUCCUCAAAUGCCACCGUCGAUGACCCUUGGCCACUGCCUCCGCUAGUUGAUGCUGUCAUUUUAACCAUCAUCCUACUUUUGGCACGGCUUUUUGGUGCUCUUCUUCUAAGUGAGUCAUGAUGGCCUCCUACAUUAUCAGUACCGCUGCUUCCUACGGAUGUUUUGAUCCAUAAAUUCAGAUUGCUGAGCUUUGAUUGAGCGCAAAAGGCCAUCACUGAAGAAGUGCUUCUUCUCAGAGAUAUCGUCCGUAUUAAGGAGAAGAAGAGGCAAUUGGCAAGGAACAACAAACCUUUGAAGAAACGUUAAUUUUCCUAAGGUGGAAAUCUAAUCAGCAAAAUAUUCUUGACCAAUUAUAUACUGACACCUAUGCAUUACGUUUUCCAAAUCUUCUUUAUUGAGUGCCUGUCUAUACUCCACAACUUUGUGUCAAAUGAGAGAGAAGUCCAACAAAUGGGGUAAAUUGUAUAUUCCACCUUUAAAUUAUAGUAUCAAAUUUUCAUGUUGCGGCGCAAAUUUUAUUGUUUGUAAGACGCUCUUUUAACUUAUUCCAGUUUGGUCCAACUGUUAUUGGUUUUCACAAAACCUAAUCACCAGAUUUGUGCAAGUGAAAAUGAAAUUAGCUGAUUUUAAUUUAUUAGUUAGUCUAUAUUCCCCUGAAAAUCCCACAGCUAUUGAUUAAAUCGAACUUUGGAAAUAUAUAUAUAUAUAUAUAUAUACAAGUAGUGAAGGCUAUUAUUGGUUUGCUAUUAGAUAGAAUCUAUCCUAUCCAGAAAUCCCAUUGAAUACAUUAUAUAGUUUCACCUUACAAUAGAGUUGGGACAUUGAGAAACAUGUAAACAGCAAUAAAGAAAGAUACACACUGCGAGGUACUGAGUCAACAAACAAUCCCUUUAUAUGCUGCUGUUCAACAUAGAACAGGAUUCAUCAAAAUCCCCCAAACAUUAGAAUGUGGUCUCAGCUCACCGCUUUGCAACUCUUUUCCUCACUGCUGCACCAUUGUCGAUUCCCGCAUGUGGACUCAUCAUUGGACGCAUGCUGAUUCCCAUUCCAAUUUCCAACACACACAGUUGUCUGCUUGCAUAUGACACUGUAAAACUGUAACUCAGGUGUCUGUCCUCGUGGAAAUACUUUGGUCCUAGUCCCUGCAGCAUAACAGGCACCAUUUGCUGCUCAAGAAAAAGGCAGUCAUUUGCUGAAUCAGGAAAAAGGAAAAAUAGUAGAACAAAAUCAAGCUAAGUGACCGCAGCUAAAUUAAUUUACGAGUCGUUCAUAAAGGUGCAGGUCAAAACUCUUACCAGGCGUUUGGUUGGAGGGUUUACCCCCUCCCCGCUCUCUUCAAUGGCUAUUAAAAUUUUAAAAAGUGUCUCGUACCCAUAGAUGGUGCUUCUAAGGGUAUGAAACAAUCACUAUCAAAGACCCAAAACUUUUUGGGUAAUGGCGAUUACCGACCAAAUUUAAAAAAAAAAAAAAACACAUUACAAAACUACAAGGAGACGAAAAGAAUAGCAGCAAUUUGACCUUCCCACUGUUACUCUUCAUCCUCCUUUCUUUCUUCAUUUUCAUCAUAUUUCCAUCUUCCCCUCAAAUCUCAUAUAUAAUCUUUUCUUGGUGGUAAAACCAGAGGCUUUAUGUGAUUGGGCAAUUUAAUGUCAAUUUGGCUCUGUGCAUAAAAGGAUUUGUUUUGAUGUGGCAAUUUGACACCGUAUAUGGAUUUGUUGGAGCAAUGAAGCUGCAACAAACGUAAAAGAGCAAUUGAAGGACGAGUCAGGAUUUGGCUGUAAUAUAGAGGCAUUUUUAAGUACUAAUAGAAUUAUAAACAAACCGAAUAAAAAUAGAACAUUGGAAAUAUUAACUUACAACUUACCAGUUAACGAGUCAAACAUUGUUCAACGGAUAGAUAUAAGCAUCGGGAAUAUGUGCAAUCUUGGGCCACUCUGCGCCACUUCCUUUGGUGCAUCUCUCUGCUAAAAGAGGACACCUGGUGAUAGAUAGAUAAUUUAAAUUGGUGAGGUGUCGCAUUGCUUCUGCAGAGGGCAAUUGUCUGAGGUUAGAGCAAUUACCAAUCAACAAUUCUCGAAGAUUCCGAAGGCUACCCAUCCACUCUGGAAGAACUUCCAACCCCUCAAAGUCCCGUAUCUCUAACGUCCUCAAGGUAGAGAGAUGCUGAAUUUGGUCUGGGAGAGACGUGAUUUUUGGCCAUCCACGCAACCGAAGAAACUCCAGAGAGACGAGAUUGGUGAUGGAGUGUGGCCACGGGAAAUGAUCAAGGUCAAGAAUGUCAGAGAAGCCACCGAGUUCCAACGAUCUGAGGUUGGCUAGAUGGUGUAGAACCAUAAUUGGCCAAGAACCAGGGUCAUUAGAAACGAUCUUCAACCGCUCGAGCGAUGUGAACUUCUCAAGAUUAUUACUCAAUGAAGGAUUCAACUUAUCACAUCCUGAGAUGCGUAGAGCACGUAGGGAUUGGGGGUUUUUCAUAUCCAGAGAAGCACCUAAUAAAGCAGGGCAGUCAUCUAAAUAUAAGAAUUCGAGAGAUAUAAGGCUAUUCAAAUUCCUUAUACAAGCAAAACUUCCGCAUCUCUCUAUCCGUAACACCUCAAGAGAUGUCAAGUUCUCCAUAUCUGGUAAAAAAGCCAACUUGGGGAGCCCUUCGAUUUCCAAGUACCGGAGACUAGGGAAUACCUUAAUUGAUGAAGAAGAAUCCGAGGGAACCAUUGCAUCUGACCACUCCUCUAGCCUUUUCAUGUUCCGCAGCCCAAAACGCCUUAGUUUUGGAAACAGAGUGACUGGUUUCACCUCUCUGCUACUGGUGCUGCUACUACAAGAAGCGCUGCUCCUUGCAUUAAUAUCGAGAUGUGUAAGGAGACCAUAGAAUUCUGCCCCAAUGCGCUUCACAUUGUGUAAGGAGACCAUGUCUAAGGACUCGAGACAAGGCAAGUCCCCUAGUGAUGGUACUUGUUCACACUUACCCAAUUUCUCCAACCUGAGGUGUACCAGAUUCCUUAGGAGUACCAUCAAGUGAUCCUUUGCCACCAUCCAUGACGGAAACCUUGAACCUUUGAAACCAUUAAUGGCUAAACUUUUCAAGUCUGGGUGAGGUUGGAGACCUUCCAUGACACUGUUGAUAUUGUUGUCGUCGCAAUCUUCAUUUGUGUCAUCCCAUGAAAGUGUUAAACUUUGAAUGCUUGAUUUUUCGGACAACUUUGCUUUUGCUGCCGAUUCAAAGCUGCUCACAUUCUCAAGUCCAAAAAUUUUUAGCUCGCCUCGGAGGUUGCGCAAGUGUUCCAGCUCCUCAAGCUGACAUCCCUUGUCUUGGCUUACCACGAAGUAGGGCAACGUCCGAAGAUUAGCCAGCUGCCCAAUCCCAGGGAUCAAAUAUGAGGGCCGACCCGAAAAAAUCGUGGAAAACUCGAGAUGCCUCAAGUUAAUUAAAUUGCUAAACUUCUUAGGUAUCUCUUUCAAGCGACUUACUUUCAAAGUCAUCAAAUUGUAGAGCUUUGUGAUCGAAUCUGGCAGAGCGGCGAUUCGAGUUUGACUCAUAUCAAGAUGUCUUAAAUGUUUCAUAUUACCCACUGCAUUGGGGAGAUGAGUAACAUCCCAGCAGUCUACUUUUAAUACAGAAAGGUAUUUAGACCUUUCCAAGAUGUCUUCGAGCAUAAUACCAUCAUCCCCAAUAUAAUAAAGCGUUUGCAAAUUUGGAGGAAUCCCUUCGAUAUUCUUUAACAUCUUUCCUCGACUCAGAACAACGGUCAAAUGCACAACUUCAUCAUUAUGACUGACCACCAUGCCAUUCUCUGUAUUUAAGAAACAAUUAUUUGACACUCGCAGUGAAAGAUCAUGCACAAGGUCGUGCAUCCGGCAGUAGUUGAUUUCUUUACUAGAAUACUCAGGAAUAGCUUGCAACAAAGAACUCCGAAGCAAUACGUUGAAGCAGUCGCUGCCUACAUCCUCCAUUUGCAAAUGACCUCCUCCCCUUGGCAUCAUUAAUCAAUCCCUGGGCCAUCCAAAUCUGUAUCAAGCUUUUUUUUUCCAUGCCAGUGUCCUUCGGGAAAAUGGAACAACUUGCAAAGCAUUGUUUCACUGACAAUGAAGGUAAGUUCUCGUAACUCAGCUUCAGGACAGACAUGACUCCACCUUCAGUGUUGGUUGACUCGUUCCAUAUUUCACUCUUCUCAAGCUUCAACCAUUCCGAGGCAUCCUUUUUGGAAUACAACAAACCCCCAAUCACUUUGAUUGCUAAUGGCACGCCGCCACACUUUUUCAGUAUCCUUCUGCCAAUGUCCACCAAAUCUUGAGUCUUUCUUGCACCACCGUUUGCAAAUGCUAGUUUUUCAAGCAACAUCCAGCUAUGAUCAUCUGAGAGGAUGCCUAGAGGAUGCAAACCAGAUGUUUGCAUUGCUGAGGCUACCUCAUCACUACGUGUGGUAGCCAAUAUUUUGCUUCCCGGAGCACCCCCAAUUGCCAACAAACGUCUCCUCAUGCCAUCCCAUUUCUCUCGAUUCUCAUUCCAAAUAUCAUCAAGUACAAGCAAGUAACUUUUUCCUUUCAGAUUUUCUUCAAGCUUCCUCACCAAUGCUUCCGUGUUUGUUGUGUCAGCACUUUUUCUCUCAAGGGAUUGCAGCAUCUCAUUCAACAGCCUUUUCACUUUGAAAUCAUCAGACACGCAUACCCAUAUUUUUUUAUCAAAGUGCUUCAUUACACUGUCAUUUUUUAGCACCAUCUGUGCAAGGGUUGUUUUACCCUGGCCACCCAUCCCAACUAUUGAGAUGACAGGUAAAUCCUUCUUAUAGUCUGAGCUAAUUAACAUGCUUACAACUUGAGAUACCUCAACCUCCCUUCCCACCGUUUCUGACUCGUCCACAAAAGGAUCAGUCGACCGAUCCUCUUUUUGAUCAGCAGAUGGCAUGGGUAGUUGAGCUGGAUAAAGCCCUAUCUGAUUUGCUUCUGUGUAAGCUUCCUCUAGAGAUGCGCUAACAUUCUUGAUCUUGUUAGCCAUCUCUGUACGAAAGAAAAUAGGAUUUGAGGAAGAAAAGAAAUUGCGUACCUUGUCGCGCUUCCGAUUCUCAACCUUCUGCCGCAGAACUUCAUAUCCGAAGUCAUCCAACACGAUCUCAGCAUCACGUGCUAUGGACUGGAGCCUUUUGAGCCAGAGCUGCACGGCUUUGCUUGUUGAUUGCUUGCACUUAGCAUCAAAAAUCAAAGCUUCCAUCAUCUCUACUUUCUUCGCAAGCUUCUGAAGGUCUUUCUUUACACCCCAUACCCGGCUGAUCUCGUCGGCAGCAAGUGGAAGUAUCUUAUUCAAGAUUACACCAACACAACUGAGCGCAGCUUCAGCCAUUUUCAGCGAAACUCUUUUACAGAAGAAGGUAAAAUGCUUUGGUUGAAUAGUUGGACUAUUUUUGGCAGCUAGAGAUGUUCAACAUUCAACAGCUAGCGCUACAAAGUAGGGAACCCAUUACUUAUCUUUCGUUUUUUUCCAAAACGAAAUUUCCUACCAAGUUGGAAAACUAAAAAAGUAGUGCUCCAAGCAAAGACUAGAGAUGAUAUCCAACGACCAAUCCAGGGCCACACGGCUUGUGGGUACCAUUGAAAUAAUUGAAUGCAUAGAUGUUAGUUGAAAGCUGAAACAAUACACGAGCUGGGCUUUGGUAGGAUCACCAACGACUAAUUAUGGUUUUUUCUUUCUUCAUGGUAACAUUCAUGCAUCUGGGUACAAGUUCUACACACUUUCAAUCGAGUAAUCCAUUUUCAAUCAUCUUUUGUACAUGUGACAAUACUUAUCUGUUCAUCGCCCUAAUGUUCUCAUAAUUCAUUGCCAAAGCUGGAGAAAAGUGUUAAAAACAUAAAAAGGAAAAAAAAGCUGUGUUUCUUUCUUGAACAAAGCAAUAUAUUAGCAUAUAUCUUCCAUUGAUCCCUAGGCUCCACUGAAAGAAUUAUUAUCUUCGAGCAGUACUUUUUUUGGUUUUUGUUUUUUUACUUGGCUUUUGGUAGGGUCUUCACAUGUUAAAGCAAAAAUACUUAUGAUAACAAUAAUUAGUGAAAGCCUUGGAUGCAAUGUGGAACUUAAAAGAAGGGAUGAGUAAAAGAUUCCCCGAGAAAGGGUGUGAAAACUUAAAGAAAAGGAAUGGAAAAUUUUGCCGAACAUUGAAAUUUCAACCUCUAGAUACUCAUAAUGGUCAAUAUCUAUUAUUAAGUAGGCUCCAGUUAUCAGACAAGAUAAUGCAAAUGCCUAACCAUACGUCCAAAUUGUGGUCUCCACCAAUACAUCUUCAUAAAGCAACUACUGACUCACGGCACCACCCAUGAAUACUGAGCACCUGUUACCUGUUAAUCAUCCAUGAAUACUGUAUUGAAAUCCAAUUAUUCCCAUCUACUGAACUGAUGAAAAUAAUUCAGCUUGAUGAGAGAGUCGAGAAAAGAAACAAGAAUGUAAAUUCCCGUGGACGCAUCACAACAGCAUUUGGUUGUAUCAUUUGACAAUUUCAAUACCUAAAGACCCUUUGACUAAAAAUGGCAAUUAACAAAUGUUAAACAACACAGUCAACCGAAUAUUGCGAAUAUAAUACAUACACUACAAGGUCUUUCAUUCAUUGAAUCCAAGAGAAGUUUAUAUGAUGACUGCGAACUUAUUGGCAGACGCUAUGAGCCGGAGAUGUUUCGAUUUUUCCUCAGUACAAGAAGCAAAUAUUAUCACCUACAAGAAGCUAGUGUUGAACAGAGGACCAAGAGUUUGUCUCUAACCAAUUGAAAGCUAUAGGGCUCAGGAACGCAUCAGGAAUGCCAAAGGAGCUGACCAACGAAAGUGCAUGCGGUCUCAGUUCCUCGCAAAGCUUUGCAACUUCUUUUCUCACUGCUGCAGCAUUGUCUGCUGACAGGUAGCCAUAUCGGAGUCUGGUUCCAAAUUCCAAGGUAACCAGGGCAUAGAUCGAUUUCAAAAGACCUAAUAGGCUCUGCAAGAAGAUUCAUAAC